GUUUAUGGAGUGUUUUUGUUAUGCUGGUGUAACGUUUGUUGAGAUUCUUCUGUGUUCCCCUGUUUAGGAAAGCAGGACCGGAUUUGAACGAUUAAAGGCCCUGAAUUUUUGUGGAGUCCUUAGACAGGAUAUUUGUGUAGGCCCUUACCUUUUCAAGCUUUCUUAAAAUGCUCGUAAUAAUGUCCAAUCUAAAAGCUUGUCAUAUUAGUGAACCAAAAGUUUUAAAGGGCAGAACUCUGACCUCAUCUCUAGGCCUGUAGCUCUUCAGACAAAUGGAACAUUCGUAAGCAGAGGUCGACUCACACUGGCUGGAUGCGUCAGCGUGUUGAACCACGGGAAUCUGGCUAAGCUCUGAGUUGG